UUGUCAGUUCCUAAAUACGAACUGGUACUCUGAAAUACAUGGCACGAGAUUUCAGCGGUGAUUCCAUACACAUUCAGUCUAUUCACAUUCAAUUGAAACCUUUCAACUCUCUCUCCAAAUCAUUCAACUCCUUCCGAAAAUGCUCACAUAUACCAAUCCUUCCAAAAUGAAAAACCCUAGUUUCAUGAAAUUGAGAACCGAAGUUGCACCCCUUCUUAGUAGCGACCGCGGAAAUAUUACGCCGGCUACGUUCGUCGAUUCUGCAUUGGAGAGGUAAAAGGCACAUUUUGUUUGUUCUGAAAUGGUUAAAAGACGAGACUUUUCGAACCCCGAAACGGCUGGCGGCGGAGAAACUUCUGGAAGUGUCCACAGUUGUUAAGCGACGCAGAUGAUGGAAGAAACAAGAUGAUCCAGAAAAUGAACCGAGGGGAAAGAGGUUGAAAAUAGGGAGAAGAAAAUAACAUCAUUACAUGGAGUUUUCUCCAUUACGUGUACUUUGCAAAAGUUAUUGUAAACAAAUUAAUGCUUCUGAUGUAAAUUAAUCUUGCGUUUGAAAUUUAGUUCAA